CGAAAAGUAGCCGCUGUUUUUUUGGAGCCGAGAAAACCUGUGUUUUUGCGCUUAGGUUGCUUUUAUCUAACUGAAACUUUACCUAGAAGCUUUUGGAGCUCAGACACUGAGUCUUUGUUGUGCAAGGAACUGCUGCAGCCACUUAAGGAGAUCUCUGAUAAUGUCCCCGAUUUAAGAUCAGUGCUCGACGCACAUUAACUUUCUUUUUUUCUUUCUCUUUUUAAAGCUCUGUCUUCGACUGGUGUCACGCGGCAGUAGGGGGCAGAUAGAAGCCCUUUGGACGAGGGUCACCUCGGUCCUUGUUGUUCACUUGAGAGCAGUGGAGAGGAAAACGGUCCCCACUGGCGGACUUUGGCUUCUGAAGCCCGGGGACCCACCGGUCCUCCCCACGCCUCCUCCUGGUCGUGCCUCCUUUUCCCGUGGAGCGCGAGAAGCCUUGUUCCGGAGCCUGUAGGGCUGAUCUUCUUGACCCCUCCUGCUCCCACGCCGGAUCCCCCUCCAGUCAUCGCAACCAUCCACCACCUCGGUUCCACUCAAUCGAUUUUUGCUGCAUAUCAACACUUACUACCGCAACUUAGAAAAUGACUCCUGAGGCUGGGACCUUAUGUACCAAGAUUAAAGCACGCGAUCCUUUCCUGAGAGCCCCAAGACUCGCUCUAUGAAAGCGUCCUCCGUUCAGAAGUAGCAAAGCUUCUGUGCCUGCACCAGCAGUUUGCCUCAGUGGGGAACCCCCUGACUCGAAGUUCAGGGUAGGAACCUUUUUCCUCCUCGCUCUGGAAUAUGAGACCUAGAAUCAUCCCUCCUGUCUUUGAAAGUGGUGGGGCACCGUAUCGAAUGUGAUUUGGAACUCAGACUAGUGAUGUCCAGCAAUUCUGCUUCUCUGGGUAGGUAGCAAGGUGGAGUUACUGCACCCAACAGAACCCUAAUGGCAUUUGCCUCUGCCCUACGGAAAGACUAGCCCGGAAGAACUAGCCUGGCCUUCUGGGGUAUCACUUCAGGCAGUUGCCUCCAUUUGGUUGACCGCCAGUUUCGCUGACAUGACAGCCUCACCCCGCUGUGUGCGGGCGCUGGGGAAGGGGGAGGGGAGGCUGUGGACAGAGGUGGAGACCCUGCAGGCCAUCCUCAGCGCUAAGGAAGGCGCUUUGCCUGCCAGAGCCCUAGGCUCAGA